CACCGCCCGUCAGUUCCUGGAAGAUGAGAGCACCAGAAGACGUCUUAGCUAACCGCAAGGAGGCGGACGGCCAAGGUGAAAUCAUUGACUGGGAAU
rnacentral:rRNA from 1 species